rnacentral:lncRNA from 1 species
ACUGAUUCAAGCCCAAUAACAGUCCAAGAUUAACUAAAAAGAUGGGCUUAGAGAGUUAGGGAAGAAGAAUCAAAUGCCUUUAGGCCCAAUCACAAGGGCAAGGUCUAAAAAGAUUCAACAAGCCUUCAACAUCUUGGUCCAAGACAAAAUUAGUAAAGAUAUGAAUUAAAGAUUUCAAAAGAAGCCUUAGCCUUUGGUCCUUGUUGUCCUAAACCCACAAGGUUGAGAAAAGGAUAGGAAAGAGAGGCCUACCUGUGUGGGAUUCCUCUCACCUUAGGAAAAUCAACAUCUUUUGUCUUUGAAAACUUCAAGACUCCAAUUUUGAUUCAAGAAGCAAUUAGUAAAAAGAAGAAUCUAAGAGGAAAUCAGCAACACUAGAUCCAAGAGGAGAACUCAUGAGACUAGGGACUGGAAAAGAAGAAAGCACCCCACCCUUGGUGGGAUACCUUACUUGAGAGGGAUACCACUUCCCUCUCUAAUUGUAAGUCUUUUCCUUCUUAUUUCUUUAAUUCUUUUUCAAGUUGAAUUCAAGAUUCCUUCAUGGUUUGGAAGCUAGAGUUCAAAGAGGAGAUGAAAUCACCAAGAAAGAAAAAGUUAGUCAUGUUAAGAUUCUACCAAAAAAGUCUACUUCUCACAAAAUUCCCCUUCAUGUUUUCUACUACAAGUACGCAAGAACCAUAUAGGUCCUACUUGAAAUUUGCAACAAAAUAUUAAUUAAAUAAAAGAGUCCAAGAUAAGAGGAAGUGGGAUAGUUGAAACCAAG